UUUUUUCCAACAAAAGCUCGAUCUGGUGUAUGCGAGCAAAGUGAUCAAUCGAUCCAACUUUCUGAUCGAUCGAGAUCUAAUCCCAGACUGUGCAACAUGGAAUAUCCAAAGUGGAUUGAUCUUUCGAUAACAUCCAUGCUUGUGGGGUGUCUGAAUGACUACUUGAUUAGCUUGUCUUGGGGCUUGAGAUACACUUGGUCAAAUUGUCCUUAGCCAACAUAACCUACUUGAUUUUAUUGUCUUGGGACUUGGAUUAGAUUCCUCGUUUAGAUCUGAAAAGACAUGUCCUUGUGAGUAUGGUUCACUUCUCUCUUCCCUUCAUCAUCUUAACAAUGAGAAAAGAAAAAAAAAUUGAGAUGAUUUCGUGUGGAGUAAAGGGGUUGGAAAUUUUCAUGUGACCCCAUUAUUUUACUUCGAACGGAGUGAUCACACAAGCUCGAAGCAAGGUAGAAAAAUUUCCAAUGACCCCAUUAUUAAUAGCAUACACUUUGCAGAGCAAGAAAAAAGUAAAAGAAAAGAAAUCUAUUCAGAGAAGUGAGAAAAGAGAGACGAAACGAAUCAGAAUAAGACUGCAUGGUUGAUCAAAAACCUAAAUGGGUAAUAGUCCAUGUGUCUUGUGAUCGAUACUCCCAAGAUGAGGCUGCUCGUUAAAUUAUCAAAUACGGUCAGCAAUGGUGAAUUUAAAUUAUCUUUUGUGAGUUGUGUGCUGAAAAUGAUUAGGUUGCUAAGUAGAUGUCAAAUACAUUGAAGUACAUUCUAAGGUUGGUACUAAUUGAUAUGGCUUACAACUCGUUAACGUGAAAGUGGUGUUCUGAAGGUUAAGUGAGUUCCCAUGUUUUCAAACCUUUCCACUAGACUCUGAAUUGUUGUGUGUCUUUACAUGAAGAAAAGUAAAGGUUAAGUCUAGGAGAAUUGAUAUAUCUUGUUUUCUAGUACAUAUUAUGGUUCAAGGAUUUUUGGAUUUUCUAUCUAUGUUUUCAGGUAAUAUAAGUGCUUGGACGGUUCCGGAGACUGCAGUGAAAUUUUACAGGGAUUUCAAUGAAUUUUUGUGAUGAUUUGAAGCACUAGGAGAAAAUGACAGAAAAGGAUCGAUCUAUCCCAUUCCAGACCAAAACUGAAUCGAUCGAUCCAUUGAAAAAACAGCAAACUGGUCGUCUCAGCAAACUGCAUUGAUUAAUGCAACUUCCCAAUCGAUCAAUAU